ACUAGUCGAGAGGUCCUGCGCCGAAAAUGUCCGGGGCUAAAACACGACACCGAAGCUUAGGAAUGUAGAAAUACAUUGGUAGAGGAGCAUUGUUAGCGCAGCGAAGCUGUACCGAUAAGGAGCAGUGGAGUGCUAAGAAGAGAGAAUGCCGGAAUGAGUAGCGAGAUGGAGGUGGGAAUCCUCCAGGCCGAAUAUCUAAGGUUUCCAGAGUAAAGCUGAUCUGCUCUGGGUAAGUCGGGGCCUAAGCACAGGUCGCAAGACGUAAGCGAUGGAUAACAGGUUUAGAUUCCUGUACCACGCAUUAUCAGAACUGUAGGGACGCAUGUGGAAAGCACGAGCCGGGAAUGGAAAGACCGGUACAAGCGGGGUAGGUGUACGAUAGGCAAAUCCGUUGUAUGAUCCGAAGACGUGAUGUGGAGCGAAAUAAAGUAGUGAAGUGUGUGAGCCAUGUGCCGAGAAAAGCUGCUAUUGUGUAAUGCGUGCCCGUACCGUAAACCGACACAGGUGGAUGAGGAGAGAAUCCUAAGGCCGGCGGAAGAAGCAUUGUUAAGGAACUCGGCAAAAUGACCCCGUAACUUCGGGAGAAGGGGUGCCUGCGAGAGCAGGCCGCAGAGAAUAGGCUCAAGCAACUGUUUAGCAAAAACACAGGUCUAUGCGAAACCGAAAGGUGAAGUAUAUGGGCUGACGCCUGCCCGGUGCUGGAAGGUUAAGAGGAGAGGUUAGCGUAAGCGAAGCUUUGAAUUUAAGCCCCAGUAAACGGCGGCCGUAACUAUAACGGUCCUAAGGUAGCGAAAUUCCUUGUCGGGUAAGUUCCGACCCGCACGAAAGGCGUAAUGAUUUGAGCGCUGUCUCGACAAUGCAUCCGGUGAAAUUGAAGUACCAGUGAAGAUGCUGGUUACCCGCGCCAGGACGGAAAGACCCCAUGGAGCUUUACUCCAGUUUGAUACUGGGAUUCGGUACUGCAUGUACAGGAUAGGUGGGAGACGAAGAAGGAUGGACGCCAGUCUGUCCGGAGUCGCUGUUGGGAUACCACCCCUGUAGUACUGGGUUUCUAACCAGUUGCCAUGAACUGGCAAUGGGACAAUGUCAGGCGGGGAGUUUGACUGGGGCGGUCGCCUCCGAAAGGGUAUCGGAGGCGCUCAAAGGUUCCCUCAGAAUGGUUGGAAACCAUUUGAAGAGUGCAAAGGCAGAAGGGAGCUUGACUGCGACACCGACGGGUGGAGCAGGUACGAAAGUAGGACUUAGUGAUCCGGUGGUAUAAAGUGGGAUUGCCAUCGCUCAACGGAUAAAAGCUACCCUGGGGAUAACAGGCUUAUCACUCCCAAGAGUUCACAUCGACGGAGUGGUUUGGCACCUCGAUGUCGGCUCAUCGCAUCCUGGGGCUGUAGUAGGUCCCAAGGGUUGGGCUGUUCGCCCAUUAAAGCGGUACGCGAGCUGGGUUCAGAACGUCGUGAGACAGUUCGGUCCCUAUCCGGCGUGGGCGUAGGAUAUUUGAGAGGAGCUGUCCUUAGUACGAGAGGACCGGGAUGGACUGACCUCUGGUGUACCGGUUGAACCGCCAGGUUCACGGCCGGGUAGCCAAGUCGGGAAGGGAUAAACGCUGAAGGCAUCUAAGCGUGAAGCCCCCCUCAAGAUGAGAUAUCCCUCCUUCGGGAGUAAGACCCCUUGA
rnacentral:rRNA from 1 species